GAUGAACGCUGGCGGCGUGCCUAAUACAUGCAAGUCGAGCGAACAGACGAGGAGCUUGCUCCUCUGACGUUAGCGGCGGACGGGUGAGUAACACGUGGAUAACCUACCUAUAAGACUGGGAUAACUUCGGGAAACCGGAGCUAAUACCGGAUAACAUGUUGAACCGCAUGGUUCAACAGUGAAAGACGGUCUUGCUGUCACUUAUAGAUGGAUCCGCGCCGCAUUAGCUAGUUGGUAAGGUAACGGCUUACCAAGGCAACGAUGCGUGGCCGACCUGAGAGGGUGAUCGGCCACACUGGAACUGAGACACGGUCCAGACUCCUACGGGAGGCAGCAGUAGGGAAUCUUCCGCAAUGGGCGAAAGCCUGACGGAGCAACGCCGCGUGAGUGAUGAAGGUCUUCGGAUCGUAAAACUCUGUUAUUAGGGAAGAACAAAUGUGUAAGUAACUAUGCACGUCUUGACGGUACCUAAUCAGAAAGCCACGGCUAACUACGUG
rnacentral:rRNA from 1 species